AGAGUUUGAUCAUGGCUCAGGAUGAACGCUAGCGGCAGGCUUAAUACAUGCAAGUCGAGGGGCAGCACAGUGUAGCAAUACAUGGGUGGCGACCGGCAAACGGGUGCGGAACACGUACGCAACCUUCCUUCAAGCGGGGCAUAGCUUUCGGAAACGAAAAUUAAUACCCCAUAGUAAUGUCUGAGGGCAUCUGAGGACAU
rnacentral:rRNA from 1 species